rnacentral:lncRNA from 1 species
CGAAAGCCAAAGAAAGCAUAAAAAAGGCUUCCUCCUUGCCUUGGGACGUCGGAGAACCAGAAACUUCAUGAAGCUCCUACCUUUUGUUCUGCAACAGUGACGAGGAAACCCGAAUAGAUGUUUUGUAUCAGUAAGUUUUCUCCUUUUCUCCAUAUUUCUGCAACAAACACACGUUCAGGAAGAUUUUUUUUAAAAAAACCCAACCUCAACAGACCUGCAAGUAAUCUUCUCUCUUGAACUCAAUUUACCUGCUUGAGAAAAUCAAAUAUUGGUAGUCAUUAGCCUAGGGCCUGCUUAACUUUCAUUUCCUACAACCUUAUAUGUAUAUAUGUGUUUUAGAUUAAUCUAAUUAUAAACUAUAUCAUGAAAUAAGAUUACUUUUCAUAACAAUACAUACAUGUGUGUGUGUGUGUGUGUGUGUAUAUACACAACACAUAUGCUCAUUCAGAUAAUUACAUAUGACCAGCAAGAAAAUAUUACAUGGAUUUAAAGAGUCCUUGAAGCAUUUUGUCAAGCACAUUAUGAGCAGCCUCUGUAUACUCUUCAUUGACAACAAACUGCAGCCUGUACAUCUCUGUAAAUUAACUAAACAACACCAAUUAUCACCAAUAGGAUUAAAAUGCAAAUAAAAGUUAAACAUGAAAUUAAAUGUAAAAAUAACAAUAUAGUAAGAAUAUAUUAUUUGAUGGAUCAUACAUAAAAAUGACCUUCGAAAUUGGUAGUCUUUAUGCAUUUAAGAAAAAUUAAAAUGCAUAUUUUACAAAAUUAAUCGAUUAUGAAAUAUAAUUGGGUUAAACAUCAACCUAUUUUCUCACAUAAUCCACCAUUUUUAAACAUGAAUGAAGGUAUCCAAUAUAUUGGGAAGCUCAAUACAGUCUAGAACAAUUGCCUAGAACCAUACAAUUCAUGUAUAUGCACUUGCUUUACCUCAAGAGACCUUUAGUUUGGAGGAACUAACUAAUAAAUGCAAGAAGUCAAGAUCUUUGUGUGUGACUAGAAAUUCUAUAUAAAUUGGUGUAACCAUGUUCAAGUACCAAAGCCAAAACAGACAAAUUCAUUUCUCCAUUUUCCUUUAAACACAACUGUGCAUAAACCUAUCUAUUGCCAUGAAUUUGUUUCCUUUUUAAGUCAAGAAGUACCAAGAAAGGAAUGCCUUGAACACUACAUUCCUUUUCUCAAUCUUUCAAAUAAUAAUCCAUUUGGUAUUUGCAAAAACAAUACAUAUCAAUACAAUUAAAGCAAAAAUAAUAACAUGUAGAGCACAUCAUGACCAGCAAGAAAAUAUUACAUGGAUUUAAAGAGUCUUUGAAGCAUUUUGUCGAGCACAUUAUGAGCAGCCUUCAUAUACUCUUCAUUGUCAACAACCGACAGGCACCUAUACAUAUAUCUAAAUUAACAAAACAACACAAAUUAGGAAGUAAAAUAAAAACAAAACGGUAAGCAUGGGAAUUAAAUGUUAAAACAACAACACAGCGAGAAUAUAUUAUUUGAUUAAUCCUAUAUAAAAAUCACACUUUCUAAAUUGACAGCCUUCUGUAAAAAAUAAAAAAUGUGUACGUUACCAAAUUCAUCAAUUAUGAAAUAUGAUCUGGGCUAAAGAUUCACCUAUUUUCUCACCCCAAGAUCCGGAUUCUUGAAUCUUUCCUUGAUGCAGGUUCAGUCGUGUUGCAGAAAUAAAGAGGAAAAUUCAGGUUUGCAGAUUGAAGAAGCUUCAGAUUGAGGAAGCUUCAAAAAAGAGGAAAUGAGAAAUGUGGAAGCUUAUUGAACAGAAGCUUCAGGUUCUGCAAGAUGCGUUGCGG